UAUGUGAAUGUCACUUUUAAGUUGCUGUGAGUGCUGCAAAAGUGAUAAGGGGCUAAGUCUGUGGUUGUCGUUGGUUUCGGGCUGAGAGGAAAGAGUUCGGUUGAUGCGUUUGGGUUAUGGUUUCGACGAGUCGAGUGGUUGAAGAUGAUG